rnacentral:tRNA from 1 species
GGAGAGGUGACUUGGUGGUACAGCAUGUGCUUAGCAUGCAUGAGGCCCUGGGUUCCAUCCCCAGCCCCACCA